rnacentral:other from 1 species
GUCUCGCAGCUGAGGUCUAGUGCAAGGUUUUUGCUCUCUAGCAUAUGUACUAACCAAUGUUGCGAUGUUGUGUUUGCAUAUUGUCCGAUCACUAUCGGAUAGGUAGUUUAACUACCAAUUUUACUUCCUGUAUAUUUGACCUGUCUGUCAAAAUCAUUUUUAGCACUGUGCCCCAACACAGUGCUAUUUUUU